CAUAGUUCCGACUACCGACCCAAGCUCCGCCCACCUUGGUUACUGUUGCUACGUCCCCCAAGCUUUGGGAUGCCGAGCUGUCAAAAUGGCGGAUACACGAUCAGGCACCGUUUGCCUGUUGACAGUUCUCGACACAAUAUCUGUUGCAUUCUUGCCAGAUCAUCCUACUUUGACGCAGAAAUCGCAACAGACAGGCUUACACUAUUUCUUCACAGGGUUAUAUCCAUGAGAUACGAGUUUAUAACCGUGACAACACCUCUGACAUUGAUGCUAUGUGCUGGCGGUCAAUGUCGAAGAAUCGGAGCCCGCAUACCCUCCAUUUGAGGAUUGACACAAGCGCCGAGAAGAUCGUUCACAGCUAUUGUUCUUGUAAAGCUGGAUUUGGUGAAAGAUGUUCCCACAUCAUUGACCUUGUGAAGACACUUCAGGGAUUGAAGCCUCACAAUUUCACGCACAUUCAUGAAAAACAGAGUUGCACCAGCCUCCAGCAACAGUGGCAGAUUCACAGGGGCAACAAGAUCAUCCCAGUGCCUAUCAACCAAGUGAUUGUGGCUCAACCUCUUGCCCAGUCUAGAAAUAGGAAGCCAAUCAUUUGUCAAGUUCAGUGACACCAGACUUCCACAUAUUACCCCACUGCAGUAUGUGCUACAGACAGAUGCACCCCGGUGACUAAACACUCUGCUCGGAGACGUCUAGCUUGGGAUCAGUCUUGUCAUAUCAGAUGAAAUCACGUGCAGUAUCAACUACGUGCGCCCC